rnacentral:rRNA from 1 species
GACGAACGCUGGCGGCGUGCUUAACACAUGCAAGUCGAACGGAAAGGCCCUGCUUUUGUGGGGUGCUCGAGUGGCGAACGGGUGAGUAACACGUGAGUAACCUGCCCUUGACUUUGGGAUAACUUCAGGAAACUGGGGCUAAUACCGGAUAGGAGCUCCUGCUGCAUGGUGGGGGUUGGAAAGUUUCGGCGGUUGGGGAUGGACUCGCGGCUUAUCAGCUUGUUGGUGGGGUAGUGGCUUACCAAGGCUUUGACGGGUAGCCGGCCUGAGAGGGUGACCGGCGACAUUGGGACUGAGAUACAGCCGAGACUCCUGCGGGCGGCAGCAGUGGGGAAUAUUGCACAAUGGGCGGAAGCCUGAUGCAGCAACGCCGCGUGCGGGAUGACGGCCUUCGGGUUGUAAACCGCUUUCGCCUGUGACGAAGCGUGAGUGACGGUAAUGGGUAAAGAAGCAGCGGCUAACUACGUG